GACGAACGCUGGCGGCGUGCUUAACACAUGCAAGUCGAACGGAAAGGCCCUGCUUUUGUGGGGUGCUCGAGUGGCGAACGGGUGAGUAACACGUGAGUAACCUGCCCUUGACUUUGGGAUAACUUCAGGAAACUGGGGCUAAUACCGGAUAGGAGCUCCUGCUGCAUGGUGGGGGUUGGAAAGUUUCGGCGGUUGGGGAUGGACUCGCGGCUUAUCAGCUUGUUGGUGGGGUAGUGGCUUACCAAGGCUUUGACGGGUAGCCGGCCUGAGAGGGUGACCGGCCACAUUGGGACUGAGAUACGGCCCAGACUACUACGGGAGGCAGCAGUGGGGAAUAUUGCACAAUGGGCGGAAGCCUGAGGCAGCAACGCCGCGUGCGGGAUGACGGCCUUCGGGUUGUAAACCGCUUUCGCCUGUGACGAAGCGUGAGUGACGGUAAUGGGUAAAGAAGCACCGGCUAACUACGUG
rnacentral:rRNA from 1 species